CAAUAGCGUAUAUUAAAGUUGUUGCAGUUAAAAAGCUCGUAGUUGGAUUUCUGGUGGGAGCGAUCGGUCUGGCGCUUAGCGCGAGUACUUGCAUCGUCUCCGGCCAUCCUUGGGGAGAGUCUGUCUGGCAUUAAGUUGUCGGGCAGAGGAUCCUCAUCGUUUACUGUGAAAAAAUUAGAGGGUUCAAAGCAGGCUUAUGCCGUUGAAUAUAUUAGCAUGGAAUAAUAAGAUAGGACUUUGGUACUAUUUUGUUGGUUUGCGCACCAAAGUAAUGAUUAAUAGGGACAGUUGGGGGUAUUCGUAUUCCGUUGUCAGAGGUGAAAUUCUUGGAUUUACGGAAGACGAACUACUGCGAAAGCAUUUACCAAGGAUGUUUUCAUUAA
rnacentral:rRNA from 1 species